rnacentral:lncRNA from 1 species
UUUAUUCCAAAUGGUUUUACUUAAGGUCUAAAAAUACUGGAGUAGAAAAAUAGACAUUGGAACAAUAAAAUCCUAAAACUCAUUUUUUCUCUCGUUUUAUUCUCCCAAGGUUGGUCCCCUUUUCCUGUCUUUGCCGCGUGUGCAACCAGCGACUAAGUCGGCCACUGUGCCUUGUCCUUUGCUCAUGAUGCUUGUUUCUCUUGUCUUUGUCCCCAUGGCUGGCGACCUAUUUUUUUUUUCCUUUUUUGUUGCGAAGAUAAGCCUACUGUUUUGGCCUUCUUCUUUGGGUUUUUGACGACAUCGGAGGCGGGUGCCAAUGUUAAUGGCUUCUCCUCCUCGAUGCCUUGUUCAACAACUGCAAUUUUGGUCUUCCCAGUGGAGUUCUUCUCAUGGUGAAUAGCUUUGAAUUUCUAGAUCUUUGUUUGUACCUUUUCUAGUCUUUCUUUAGAUCUUUGUAUGUUAUGAGGUUUUGAUCCUGUUAGUGUAGACAUCUAUAAUUGACUCACACAAACUAAGUCAUCUAUAUUAUGGAUAAAAAUAAUUUUUUAUUUAAAAUAAAAAAAUAAAUUACCUAAGGCAGUUACAUGUUAACCACCUGAAAGGAUUUACUCUCAAUAUUUUGAGAGAGAGUGAAUCCACAUUCACUACAAAGAAAAAGGAAACUAGUUUUUUUCCAUGUUCUUUUGGUUGACACAAGAAAAUAAUAGUGGCCAUUAUUACUAUUCUUCUUUAAAUUUAAGUAUUCGUUCGUUUUAUUUUUUGAGAAGAUUAAUGAUGUGAUAUAUGAAUAAUUUUCGCUUGUGAUCUUGUUCUUAAUCGAUAUAUUGAAUCGUUGUUACUUGACGAUCCGAUAUGUUUGGUCCCUCUAUUAUUUGCUCUAUUAUUACUCGAAAUAUAUAUUUGCAUUAAUUAUCAUUGAUAUCAAAGUUAAGUUGAAUUCAAUUACUAAUUUUGUAACCUGUUCUUUUUCAUAUAUGUUUUUAUUAUGCUGUGUUUUUCUUAAUACUUACAGCACGUUUGGUUCGCUGUAUUGGAUUAGAGGUGUAUUGGAUUAGAGGUGUAAUGGAAUAGAUGUGUAAUGAAAAAGCUGUGUAAUAGCAAAUCAACUGUUUGGUUGAAUGUAAUGGAAUAGAGGCGUAAUAGUAAUCCUGUGUUUGGUUGAGUGUAAUAGAGGUG